GAUGAACGCUGGCGGCGUGCUUAACACAUGCAAGUCGAACGAAGAUGCCGGAGUGCUUGCACUUUGGCAGACUGAGUGGCGGACGGGUGAGUAACGCGUGGGUAACCUGCCUUAUACAGGGGGAUAACAGUUGGAAACGACUGCUAAUACCGCAUAAGCGCACAGUACCGCAUGGUACAGUGUGAAAAACUCCGGUGGUGUGAGAUGGACCCGCGUCUGAUUAGCUAGUUGGCAGGGCAACGGCCUACCAAGGCGACGAUCGGUAGCCGGACUGAGAGGUUGAACGGCCACAUUGGGACUGAGACACGGCCCAGACUCCUACGGGAGGCAGCAGUGGGGAAUAUUGCACAAUGGGGGAAACCCUGAUGCAGCGACGCCGCGUGGAGGAAGAAGGUCUUCGGAUUGUAAACUCCUGUUGUUGAGGAAGAUAAUGACGGUACUCAACAAGGAAGUGACGGCUAACUACGUG
rnacentral:rRNA from 1 species